UACGAAGGGGGCUAGCGUUGCUCGGAAUCACUGGGCGUAAAGCGCACGUAGGCGGAUUGCUAAGUCAGGGGUGAAAUCCUGGAGCUCAACUCCAGAACUGCCUUUGAUACUGGCGAUCUCGAGUUCGGGAGAGGUGAGUGGAACUGCGAGUGUAGAGGUGAAAUUCGUAGAUAUUCGCAAGAACACCAGUGGCGAAGGCGGCUCACUGGCCCGAUACUGACGCUGAGGUGCGAAAGCGUGGGGAGCAACCAGG
rnacentral:rRNA from 1 species